CCAGCAGGCACGGGGCAGCGCCCCCUGGCGGCCCGGCCGGAGGGAAUGGCGGCCGGGACAUGACACGGGAAAUCGCCGCUACACUGCAACCAAGGUGACAGUAUGAAAACAGCAGUGAAUACAGUGGAACUGGUUAAAAAGGAUGGAACAAGGAGACGGCAUUGUGUUGAGUCUGAAAGAAAAGUACUUAACUGGACUGCCAAGAGUGCUAUCUGUGCUAUCUCACAAUGUUCUGCCCUGUGCAUCCUGCUGAACUCCUGGCCUCUUGCAAAUCUCCAGCUGAAUGUCACUGAGCAGGGACUUCAUCUGAUAAAAUGUCUCGCACUUGAUUUGCAAUUGUUCUGCACUGCACGCCAGCUCUGUUGUACCAGUGCUGGCUGUGUGUUGAAUUACAGCAAUGAUACACAUGUGCUGAAAGAUAGGUGGUGGACAAUAAUAGACCUCCAGCUCAUGCUAAGUUUAAUGAGAAGUCUGAAAAGAGAAUGAUACUUCAUAUGGACUUGUUUGACUCUGCAUCCACUUUGUAAAUGGUACCACAGGGACCUACAUUCUUCUUAUCUUAGCCAUGUUUCCAGAUUUUUUGGUUGUUGUUUUGUGGUAAACAAAUCAGAGUCUUUAGGAGAAAGCAGAUAUGGACAUAGACAAACACACUAAACAGAACUUAAAUAUCUCAGCAUAUGCAUAUGGUACUUCAGAGCCCAAUUACCAAAACAGUUUCCAUCUGCUACAUCACAGCUGCAAUGUGCUAAGCCAGUAAUAUAUGUGGGAGAAAAAAAGAAACCACUUGAAAAAACCUAAGUUACCAUUGAAGUCUUUUAAAACCACUGAAUGGUUCAGGUGAAAGCCAUUUAAGCAAGUCUGAGAAAUGUGCUUUUCGGAAACUGGCCUUUUGCACUAGAACAAUAGAAAAGCAUUUCCUUGCUUUUCCUAAUGCUUUUGGUGAAAUGCUGAGAGAGUCAUUCUACCAAGAAUAAGGCCAAGCGCUUGCAGUAACAUGAAGAACAGAACUUCAACUUGAUCUUCCUCUACAGAAGCUCAUUAGAGAUUCACAUAAGAAGACAACCAACACGUGCUAUUGCCAUGGAAACAAGAUGGAAUAUUAUGAAGCAGUAUAUCCCAUAUUCCAAAAUAGAGAGGACAAAGACCAAUUAUAGCAAAAGGCUGACAGGCUUUUUAUUUGCAGCUUGUAUGGGUCAAAGCAAAACUUAACUCCUGCUCUUUGAAAUAAAAAUCACCAAUGCAGUUUUAGGCCUCUGGUUUCAAUUCUUCCUUUUCAAAGACAAAAACUCAAGCUAGUUAAUUUAGUUUAGUUUACGAUGUAUGGGAGGAAGGAGGCUGAAUGGAGGCAUUGGCAUGGCAGCAGGUGUGGUGAGGUACAAAGCACACACGUCAUAGAACUGUCAGAAGACUGAGUCAAGUUCAAACCAAAUAGUGAGGUAUGGAUAAAACAGAGGUGAUCAAAAGCACCAGAAGCUGAACAUAGUGGGCAUUAAGAUGCAGAGGAGGCUAGUUUCAAACACAAUGGCUGGACAGUACCAGUGGCCAGAAAUGCAAAGGAUAACAUUUCUUUACAUAAAAUUGGUGAGUCUUAUAAUUUCUUACCUUGCCUAGAUAAUGAAAUGCUUUUGGACAUCCUUGGCAUAUUUCAGAUAUACAAGGCAUACUUAGUCUAACUUCCCAGGCUUCUGCUUGGGACUACA